CGCUCGCCUGNNUUCAAAAACAUAGCUUCAACGGAAAUUAUAUGAAGUCACGUCUGCCCGGUGACUUUAGUUAGUUUAACGGCCGCGGUCUACGUGCUAAGGUAGCGUAAUCAUUUGCCUCUUUAUUGGAGGCUAGUAUGAAUGGAUUAACGAAGCCCUACUGUCUCUAACUAUAGAUUAAAAAUUGGUUUGAAAGUGAAAAAUCUUUUAUUAAUUUGAAAGACGAGAAGACCCUAUAGAGUUUUAGCAUAGUUUUUUAACAUAAUUUUCUUUUAGUUAUUAUGAAGGUUAAGUAUUAAAUAUGCUUUUAUUGGGGCAAUAAGAGAACCUACAAACUCUCUUAAUAUAUAUUUAUGGUGGUAAAAUUAUUGGAUCCUCUAAGAGAAUUAAGAAAAACUACCUUAGGGAUAACAGCGUAAUCCCACCAGAGAGAUCUGAUCGAAGGUGGGGUUUGCGACCUCGAUGUUGGACUAAGGUUACUUUAAAGUGCAGAAGCUUUAUUUAGUAGGCCUGUUCGGCCUUUAAUAUCUUACAUGAUCUGAGUU
rnacentral:rRNA from 1 species